GACGAACGCUGACGGCGUGCUUAACACAUGCAAGUCGAACGGUGAAGCGCCUUCCUUUUUGGUGGGUGUGGAUGAGUGGCGAACGGGUGAGUAACACGUGAGUAACCUGCCCCCUUCUUCUGGAUAACCGCAUGAAAGUGUGGCUAAUACGGGAUAUUCUGGGUCUGUCGCAUGAUGGGUCUGGGAAAGAUAUUGUUUCGGUGGGGGAUGGGCUCGCGGCCUAUCAGCUUGUUGGUGGGGUGAUGGCCUACCAAGGCGGUGACGGGUAGCCGGCCUGAGAGGGUGGACGGUCACACUGGGACUGAGACACGGCCCAGACUCCUACGGGAGGCAGCAGUGGGGAAUAUUGCACAAUGGGCGCAAGCCUGAUGCAGCGACGCCGCGGGAGGGAUGGAGGCCUUCGGGUUGUGAACCUCUUUCGCCAGUGAAGCAGGCCUGCCUCGUUUGUGGGUGGGUUGACGGUAGCUGGAUAAGAAGCGCCGGCUAACUACGUG
rnacentral:rRNA from 1 species